AUUCCCGGGAGAUGUGGCAUUGAAUCUCAAAGAACUGGAAGGAGAACGACUCACCCAACCUGCCUUUCAGGAAACAAUAAAUGCAAGAGAAGAUGGCGCUGAGCUGGAAGAGUGUGAUGGAACGCUGGAUAUUUGGACAGCCUCAGCCACAGGAGAUGAAGCUUAAUUUCCCAUGUAUCUAGAGCUGUACAGAUAAAAACAAAAACAGCAACAAAAGAAACUGUGGUUACAAACUGCCUUCCCUCUGAAGUCAUUACAGCUCGGGUAAGGAUGAUCAGCGAAUAACAAGUACAAGUCAGGGUUAGUAAAAUUACAGUGCAUGUUUGGUGCUCAUCACUGACUUUUUCUUCACUGACUUUUGUUCCUGCGCAUUAGGCAUCGUGUCAGCCAUUAGGAGCAAGAAAAUCCAAAGCCUACUGAUUUCCUCUCUUAUUCACUUCGGACUGCACCUGCUUUGAGCUGCCUAGUGUGCAGCAAGUUGUUUUCUGUUUUAAAAACUUGGUAAAAAUCAGAGGGCAGUAAGCAGGGCAUAGCUGUGUAUAUGGUGUUACUGAAUACCACAGACAGAGCGGUGUGUUUCUGGCUGAAACGCUGUGCUCAGCAGAGGUCUUUUAGGGUUGGGUGCUUUGUAAGGGUUUGCUUUUGUUUUUAAAGCCCUGCAUGCUUCCACUCUGGCUAUUCUCAGCUCUUUUUUACAGUGCUUGGCCAUGCAGAGCGAUCCCAAACAGGGCAUCAAGGGACACAGCCCUGCAAAGCUGCAGGUGGAGCAAAACUCGCUGCCACUGCUUUCCAUAUGUUCCUCCCUAUGGGGGCCUGACUGGACCUCGACCUGAGGAGGAAGCAGAAUGGAAACUUCAUGGAGAAGCGAGUCCAGCCCCUCAGGAAAGUCUUUUUAUGUGUGGCUUCCCUAAGAUCCAAAUGUGGCUGAAAGGACUCCCUUUUAGACUUGGGCAUAUGAACUCCAACAGAAGUCCACUAGCUGAUAGAAUGCUUAAUCAAGAUUCCAUGAGCUACACUUUGGUCCUAUCAAGACAGGCAGGCAGCUGCAUGAGAGGUGGAAAGAGAGAAAAUGAUUGA
ensembl:lncRNA